CUGCGGAAGGAUCAUUAAAUAAUUUAGAUGGCCUUUGCUAGUUUUCUAGCGAAUGGUUCAUUCUUUUUUACUGUGAACUGUUUUAAUUUUUCAGCGUCUGAGGAAUGUCUUUUAGCCAUAGGGAUAGGCUACUAGAAUGUUAACCGAGCUGAAAGUCAGGCUUAGGCCUGGUAUCCUAUUAAUUAUUUACCAAAAGAAUUCAGUAUUAUAAUUGUAACAUAAGCGUAAAAAACUUAUAAAACAACUUUUAACAACGGAUCUCUUGGUUCUCGCAUCGAUGAAGAACGUAGCAAAGUGCGAUAACUAGUGUGAAUUGCAUAUUCAGUGAAUCAUCGAGUCUUUGAACGCAACUUGCGCUCAAUGGUAUUCCAUUGAGCACGCCUGUUUCAGUAUCAAAAACACCCCACAUUCAUAAUUUUGUUGUGAAUGGAAAUGAGAGUUUCGGCUUUAUUGCUGAAUUCUUUAAAAUUAUUAGGCCUGAACUAUUGUUCUUUCUGCCUGAACAUUUUUUUAAUAUAAAGGAAUGCUCUAGUAAAAAGACUAUCUCUGGGGCCUCCCAAAUAAAUCAUUCUUAAAUUUGAUCUGAAAUCAGGCGGGAUUACCCGCUGAACUUAA
rnacentral:rRNA from 1 species